CCAAAAGCUGGCGACCGGCGCACGGGCGAGUAACACGUAUCCAACCUGCCGAUAACUCGGGGAUAGCCUUUCGAAAGAAAGAUUAAUACCCGAUGGUAUAAUCAGACCGCAUGGUUUGAUUAUUAAAGAAUUUCGGUUAUCGAUGGGGAUGCGUUCCAUUAGGCAGUUGGUGAGGUAACGGCUCACCAAACCUUCGAUGGAUAGGGGUUCUGAGAGGAAGGUCCCCCACAUUGGAACUGAGACACGGUCCAA
rnacentral:rRNA from 1 species